CGGCAUUGUUUCUGACUAACUGAGCAUUACACGUGUCAAAAUAUAUCUAAAAGCUUUACCGUUGUACAAUAGUUUUCAGGAAAUAACCGCCCGAGCUCCUCGAACAAACCAGGACAUACAUCUUCAGCUGAUAUUGCGAUAAAAAUUUAUAAAACAUCGAAACGAAUAUGGGCAAUUUUAUAAGCACUUCAUCUAAAAAUGGAGAAGAAUGGAAACGUAGAAUAUACUUUUAUCCCGUAGCUGACAAAGGCACUGAACCAAUUUAUAAAUUAUCAGCUUCUGAGUUGGUUGACAGACUGCCAAACCUGGUCGAUGGCGACGAACAUAUAAUUAAUAUAAUGGCAUAUAAGUACAAGCUGUAUUCAUGGCAAUUAACAAAGUUCACAUUAUACCACGUUUCUAUAGUAUUUGAAACGGAACAUUGGUGGUGGUCGAUUGAAAAGAAUUCCGAAGGCAUCACCAUUCAACGAAGUGAACAUCAAUGGGUUGUUUAUAAUACAUAUAGACGCGGACCCAGGUAUGGACGUACUCUCAUAAAGAAGGACAACGGAAGAGGAACAUUGAAUGAUCUAAUAGAAUGGCUUCAGCAAGAAAAUGAACUAAUCUAUGGGUAUAAUUUUAUCAAUAGCAACAGUGAAGAUUUUGCAAAAUCUGUCUUUGACCAUGUGGCUGUAGAAAAACGUUUGUAAUAUGUCCUUUGUGCAUGUGCGCAUCUAUAUGUCUACAUUGCUUUGAAAACACAGUUCUCUCAUUUCAAUAUUUACUGUCACAUGAGGAAUUAAUAAAAAUCGCAUAUAAAAUGAUAAUAAUAUUCAUACUUCCUAUGAAAUUAUGAUUAAAACAUUCUAACUGACGACAUGAAUGUGUCGCCGCAUAAUAAGAAACAGCAUUUGUAUACAAAAACUAGAUCAGAAGAGUGCAAAAGUAUAGGGAAAAGGUAAUACGCUUAUUUCUAAAAUAAUUAGGUUACUAUGAAGAUAAAUCAUAAAAUAAUUUUGCAUGCAAAUGGCGUUUUGAUAUAGCAAACUGUUUCUUUUACGGAGAGAAGCAAUAUAUCAUAUAACAAUUUUAUUGAUGAUCAUCUUAAUACUAUAAGCUAUACAAACUUAUACUUUGAAUCGGAUUGGAUAGAGACCAUUCAAAUUCCGAUGCAAAAUAUACUUUAAGUUAAAAUGUAUUAUCCUCACUCUAAUGACAUCUACGACUGCCAAAUUACUUUAUAUAAUGUAAUGAUUAGUGCAAAUAUCAAGAUUGUUUCAAUCAAUUUAAAAUAAAUUCUAGGGAGAGAAGUAGUGAAGAACUAAAUAUAUUGCAGAUGAUUGGAAUAAGUGUAUCAACACUGGCAGUAUUAAGCAGUAUUUGAUGUUCAACCUUACAUAGUUUGAAUAAAUCAUUCCGAGGGUCAAAUACGAAUAUUUCAAAACCGAUUAUUCAAGAAUCAAAACGUGACAUUAGCAGAUAUACAAAUACACUAGCGUAAUUUGCAGUGAAGAAACACAUUUUAUUACAUCUUAUUACCC